UUCAGAGGAGCACUAUUAACUGAUGUGUUUGAAAAAAACAUGUUUUCCCAUGACAGUAUCCAUUUAAUACAGCGGGGGAACACCUAUGCAGCCAUAGAUUCAUGGAAUCUCUCUGUACAGGCUAUGAGCAAUCUUAGGGCCUGUUCCUCCUGAAUUGUGCUUAGUAAGGAGGAAUAUUUAUGCUGCCAUAGGUUUAUGCGAUCUCUCUGUAGAUUCUAUGAGCAAACUAGCAAACGUAGUGGAUUGUUCCUGCUGAAUUGUGCUUAGUACAGGGGAAAUCCUAUGCUGCCAUUGCUGAAGCAUUGUUGCUGGCGUGGUGUUCUCUUCUUCCGGCGAAAGGGAUACGCCACUAUAUUGAGGAGCAGUCCGGGCAUAGUGUUCCAGUCUGGUGGCUGCAUCUGGGCUUUCUCUCUGGGUCUUGUUGCCACCCAUAGUGUGAAGUGGUGUCGGGUAUGCCAUACUUAUAGGAUUUGAGCUUCUAGCCAGUUGCCACCGGGGUAUUCAGGAUAGUUGUCACGGAGCUCCAGAACACGCAUCUGCUCAGCGCCCCGUACAGACCACACACACGAGUAGUUUAUUUUUAGUUUUAUUAUGCAAGUAAUAAGAAUAUGUUUUCUCAGCCUGGUGUAAAGCUGCCAGGGUAGUAGGGGAGGGAUGUUGUUGCACAUGAGAGCUAAGAUUGUCAGCUUGUAAAACUGUAUAAUGAUGGAGCAGGCACUCAUGGAACUAUCUUUAAGACAGACAUGUAAAAAGAAUGUACCUUUGAGUUCUGAAUAAACUACAUUCUUUUUACACAUCUGUCGAAGAUUGUUCCAUGAGUGCCUGCUCCAGCAUAAUACCGUUUUCAUCUGCUCCCCUAGCUGAAGGUUCAGGGUGGUGCACCUGGACCUCCUCUAUUUCUUGGUGAGUUAAUACUUUUGAUACCUCAUUUUGUGUUAUUAUUUGCAGAGCAGCUGGGAGGAUUAUCUGCAAAGCAGCUGGAUAAUAUUUGGAGCAGCUGGAUUAUCUUCAGAGCAGUUUUGGGGAUUAUCUACUGAGCGGUAGGGAGGAUUAUCUUCAGAGCGGCUGGAAAGAUUAUAUUCAGAAGGACUGAGUUUUCUCUGCAGAGCGUCUGGAAGAUUUCUCUGCAGAGUUCCUGGGAGGAGCAGCUGGAAUAUCUUCAGAUAGGCUCGAUAAUCUUUAGAGCGGCUGGAUUAUCUUCAGAGGGUCUUGGAAGAUUACCUUCAGAGCGGCCGGAGUAUCUUCAGAGCGGUUGGGAGCAUUAUCUGCAGAAAGAGCGCCACUCCCAACAUGCUGUUGUGACUGUAGAGAUCAACCCGGAUGCACCCAAAGAAGGAGAGAGCAAUGGAGGGGAGGAGAAUGCGACGAAGGGAAUAUGCAAGUGAGAAGCUGAAGAAAAGAGAAGGAUA